rnacentral:rRNA from 1 species
GACGAACGCUGGCGGCGUGCUUAACACAUGCAAGUCGAACGGAAAGGCCCUGCUUUUGUGGGGUGCUCGAGUGCCGAACGGGUGAGUAACACGUGAGUAACCUGCCCUUGACUUUGGGAUAACUUCAGGAAACUGGGGCUAAUACCGGAUAGGAGCUCCUGCUGCAUGGUGGGCGUUGGAAAGUUUCGGCGUUUGGGGAUGGACUCGCGGCUUAUCAGCUUGUUGGUGGAGUAGUGGCUUACCAAGGCUUUGACGGGUAGCCGGCCUGAGAGCGUGACCGGCCACAUGGGUACUGAGGUACGGCCCAGAAUGGUACGGGAGGCAGUAGGGGAGAAUAUGGCACAAUGGGCGGACGCCUGAUGCAGCAACGCCGCGUGCGGGAAGACGGCUUUCGGGUUGUAAACCGAUUUGGACUGUGACGAAGCGUGAGUGACGGUAAUGGGUAAAGAAGCACCGGCUAACUACGUG